rnacentral:lncRNA from 1 species
AUAUAUCACAUAUUAAUUAUCAAACAUUUCAAGCAAUUCAAGCAUAAUUAAGCAUAUAUCACAUAUUAUCAAAUAUAUCAAGCAAUUCAUGAUAGAAUUACUAUGUAUGUAAAAUACGAAGCAAAUUAAAUACAUACCAAAAUUCAGGAUCAAAAUAAAAUAAGAUAACUCGCAGAGCGCCAUCGAAAAAAAAAUCCUGAUCAAUCUGCGAAAGCGUGAAGUCCGGCUAUGAUCUGAAAGUCACGAAUCCAAUUUGGGUGAUUUAGUUUCUCCUCCUAUCUCAGGCACUUUAUUGUAUGGUGUGGAACUGAUGAUAGUCCUUCAUCAGAAUGCAUAUGAGAAGGUGACAAAACCAAUACCCCUUUAUAUAGAGUUCCAAAUCGACUUCCCAUCAAAGUCUGAUUAGAAUUCUAUUUAAAUUUAAAAUAAAUAGGAUAGGGAUAAAAUAUAUCAAGUAGUUAUAUAUCAGUUAGAAUUGACCUUUAUCUAUAGCAAAUCUUAAUUUAAAUAUAAUUAAUUGGGCCACAAUAUUUGGAAAUCCUAAUAAUUCAAGCAUAUAUCACAUAUUUUACUUCCCCUUUGUUAUCAUAAAAAGAAGGCCAAUUUGCAUAAAAAAUCUACUUAUUUUGGGCUUUUGCAAAACCGGGCCACCUUUUUCGUUUUUGCAGAUUCGGUCCGCUUUUUCUGCCGCCUGACCAAAAUGCCCCUCCUAUACAAUAGCCUCCCGCGCGUAUUUCUUGACAGACGUACACUACCCUACUACCCUGCCGUACGGUCUGGCGCGCAUUAAAUGACCGCUUAUUUCUCGGAACCCGGACAACAUCCGCCCCCGCUAUUCGCCGGCCCCGCUGUUUCCUGUUCUGCUUAAGACUUUACGAAAUUUUCGAACGCUAUUGACAAAUAGUGCGCGCUCCGCAACAGGGAUAAUAGUGCAAUGCGAAGACUGCGAAAUGAGAAAUGGUGCAACCAACCUCUAUAACAGUGCAUCCUAGCCUCGUUCCAGUGCAACCAAACCAUAAUCAGUCAAAAUUUACUUUCUCCAUUUCUUAAUAUAAUCUGAACUUAAAAGUGCAAAUGAACGGCGUCCCCUCCAAAUGCAGGCGAAGCGUUGGCGGCGCAGGACGGUCGCUACCGGGUAGGACGGUCGGCGAUGUGCGACAAAAGAGUCGGCAGGCCAGGAAGCUCUGCGGCGGGGCUGGACGGUCGCCGGCGGGGUUCGGAGUUCGAAAGGGGCGACAUAAUGGCUAAACGAUUGUGUAAAGUUUUCCUAUAAAAGAUCACGCGUCCUUUUGCUUGUUAAAUAAGUUCACAGUUAAGCGCGAAUAAUAGUGCAAGGCAGUGUUAACUACAAAACAAUAUUUUUCAAAAGAGUGCAAAGAAGCUCGUAAGAGUGCAAUACGGGGAAAUAACAGUCUAAUGGAUUUUAUCUACGAGUGCAACGAAACUUGUAAAAGUGC